GACGAACGCUGGCGGCGUGCUUAACACAUGCAAGUCGAACGGAAAGGCCCUGCUUUUGUGGGGUGCUCUAGUGGCGAACGGGUGAGUAACACGUGAGUAACCUGCCCUUGACUUUGGGAUAACUUCAGGAAACUGGGGCUAAUACCGGAUAGGAGCUCCUGCUGCAUGGUGGGGGUCGCAAAGUUACGGCGGUCGGGGAUGGACUUGGGCGUUAUCAGUUCGUUGGUGGGAUAGAGGGUUACCAAGGCUUUGACGGGUAACCGGCCUGAGAGGGUGACUGGCCGCAGUGGGAGUGAGAUACGUCCGACACGCGUACGGGAGGCAGCAGUGGGGAAUAUCGCACAAUGGGCAGAUGCCUGAGGCAGCAACGCCGCGUGCGAGAUGACGGCCUUCGGGUUGUAAACCGCUUUCGCCUGUGACCAAGCGUGAGUGACGGUAAUGGGUAAAGAAGCACCGGCUAACUACGU
rnacentral:rRNA from 1 species